UUUUCUGUUGUCGUCGCUUCAGGAAC
rnacentral:sRNA from 1 species